AAUUUAAAUCUGAAAAUUUUUAUGAUACACCUUGAGGCUUGUUAUUUGGUUAGUAUAUCCUAUGCAUCAAUCAUGAACCAAAUUACAAUUCAAAUAGUUGAUCUUAAGAGCCUCUAACUUAAUAAAAAAGGGGGAGAAUAAUGUGUUGAAUUUUCUUGAGUAUCUCAUAGAAAAUCUAUUUUGGAAUUCACUAAUGAGUCCUAAUUGGCUUGCUCUUUAGAACUUCAAUUUUGUGCCAAUUCAUAUCUCUCUAUAUAUAUCAAAUUGUGCUUAUUUCCUAAAAGAAUAAAAGAAAGUUUGUAAAAGAGCUCUAAGAUGUAUCAAAAACUGCAUAUUUUGGUACUUGUGCCCCAAUGCUCUUAUUAUCAUAAAAGAACUUUGAAGUCAUUAAAAAUUAAUGAUCCAACAUGAUGAUAU
rnacentral:lncRNA from 1 species